rnacentral:rRNA from 1 species
UACGGAGGGUGCGAGCGUUGUCCGGAAUUACUGGGCGUAAAGCGCGCGUAGGCGGCUUUGUAAGUCAGAGGUGAAAUCCCGGGGCUCAACUCCGGAACUGCCUUUGAAACUGCAUCGCUUGAAUCCGGGAGAGGUGAGUGGAAUUCCGAGUGUAGAGGUGAAAUUCGUAGAUAUUCGCAAGAACACCAGUGGCGAAGGCGGCUCACUGGCCCGAUACUGACGCUGAGGCACGAAAGCGUGGGGAGCAAACAGG